rnacentral:sRNA from 1 species
UAGAAAAGUAUGUACGCUUAACCUUCGC